CCUACGGGAGGCAGCAGUGGGGAAUAUUGCGCAAUGGGGGCAACCCUGACGCAGCGACGCCGCGUGAGCGAAGAAGGCUUUAGGGUCGUAAAGCUCUGUUUUAAGGGACGAACGGUUAUCGUAGUAACUGACGAUAAAGUGACGGUACCUUAAGAGAAAGCCCCGGCUAACUACGUGCCAGCAGCCGCGGUAAU
rnacentral:rRNA from 1 species